rnacentral:tRNA from 1 species
UGGGGGGUCGUCUAAGGGCAGGACGCUGGACUUUGACUCCAGAGAUCGGGGUUCAAAUCCCUGCCCCCCAGCCA